rnacentral:tRNA from 1 species
GGCUCGUUGGUUCUAGGGUUAUGAUUCUCGCUUAGGGUGCGAGAGUCCCGGGUUCAAAUCCCGGACGAGCCC